rnacentral:rRNA from 1 species
UACGUAGGGUGCAAGCGUUAAUCGGAAUUACUGGGCGUAAAGGGCGCGUAGGCGGCCUUCUAAGUCGAACGUGAAAUCCCCGGGCUCAACCCGGGAACUGCGUCCGAUACUGGGAGGCUUGAAUCCGGGAGAGGGAUGUGGAAUUCCAGGUGUAGCGGUGAAAUGCGUAGAUAUCUGGAGGAACACCGGUGGCGAAGGCGGCAUCCUGGACCGGUAUUGACGCUGAGGAGCGAAAGCCAGGGGAGCAAACGGG